GAUGAACGCUGGCGGCGUGCCUAAUACAUGCAAGUCGAGCGAACAGACGAGGAGCUUGCUCCUCUGACGUUAGCGGCGGACGGGUGAGUAACACGUGGAUAACCUACCUAUAAGACUGGGAUAACUUCGGGAAACCGGAGCUAAUACCGGAUAAUAUAUUGAACCGCAUGGUUCAAUAGUGAAAGACGGUUUUGCUGUCACUUAUAGAUGGAUCCGCGCCGCAUUAGCUAGUUGGUAAGGUAACGGCUUACCAAGGCAACGAUGCGUAGCCGACCUGAGAGGGGGAUCGGCCACACUGGAACUGAGACACGGUCCAGACUCCUACGGGAGGCAGCAGUAGGGAAUCUUCCGCAAAGGGCGAAAGCCUGACGGAGCAACGCCGCGUGAGUGAUGAAGGUCUUCGGAUCGUAAAACUCUGUUAUUAGGGAAGAACAAAUGUGUAAGUAACUAUGCACGUCUUGACGGUACCUAAUCAGGAAGCCACGGCUAACUACGUG
rnacentral:rRNA from 1 species